rnacentral:tRNA from 1 species
CAUAGCAAAGCAUUAUAAUGCAUUUCACUUACAUUGAAAAGAUAAUAUUAAUAUAUUUGCUGUGA